UACGAAGGGGGCUAGCGUUGCUCGGAAUCACUGGGCGUAAAGCGCACGUAGGCGGAUUUUUAAGUCAGGGGUGAAAUCCUGGAGCUCAACUCCAGAACUGCCUUUGAUACUGAGGAUCUUGAGUUCGGGAGAGGUGAGUGGAACUGCGAGUGUAGAGGUGAAAUUCGUAGAUAUUCGCAAGAACACCAGUGGCGAAGGCGGCUCACUGGCCCGGAACUGACGCUGAGGUGCGAAAGCGUGGGGAGCAAACAGG
rnacentral:rRNA from 1 species